rnacentral:tRNA from 1 species
CUCAGCUGGGAGAGCGCCUGCCUUGCACGCAGGAGGUCAGCGGUUCGAUCCCGCUUAGCU